rnacentral:rRNA from 1 species
GUUGGGAAUCUUGCACAAUGGGGGAAACCCUGAUGCAGCGACGCCGCGUGGACGACGAAGGCCCUAGGGUUGUAAAGUCCUUUUGCACGGAAAGACUUAGGACGGUACCGUGCGAAUAAGCUCCGGCUAACUACGUGCCAGCAGCCGCGGUAAGACGUAGGGAGCAAGCGUUGUCCGGAUUUACUGGGCGUAAAGGGCGCGUAGGCGGUCUGUUAAGUGAGAACUGAAAUCUCCAGAGCUCAACUCGGAAACUGGUUUUCAUACUGGCAGGCUAGAGGAACGCAGAGGUGACUGGAAUUCCUGGUGUAGCGGUGAAAUGCGUUGAUAUCAGGAGGAACUCCAAUGGCGAAGGCAGGUCACUGGGCGUUAUCUGACGCUGAGGCGCGAAAGCGUGGGUAGCAAACAGGAUUAGAAACCCCGGUAGUCC